GUCCCUGUAGCGCAAUGGAGAGCGCGUUGUACUUCUAAUCCAAAGCUCGUGGGUUCGAAUCCCACUUGGGGUG